GUUGUGGAAUUGUCAUUGUCCCCAAAAGUCGUAUUUGAUCCAUUUUCCAAAGACUUCAAAGACAGCUUUAAACACUUCCGAAGCGUUCCUAAAUAUUUCAAUCUUUGUGUCCCCAUAUUUCUUUCCAAAUUGUUUUUUAAUAGGGAACAAUUAUCUGCCAGAUGGGAUUCAAGAAAUGACUCUCAUCUUAUUUUCAGAUCUUGAAUUGAUUCACAUCACACUGAUUUCAUUCGUGUGCACGUGAGGCGUCGUACAGUGCCCGCCGUGACACACGGGGAGUUAUAAUCCUUUGUUCAUCUCAGUUCAGAAUGAGCAGUCCACCCUUUUGGAUGUUGGCAUCUGUCUUUCAGGUCUGCUACUUUUAUCGGUCAGCAGGUGACAGCCAGCAGGAAUUUCUUUAACAACCGGUCAGUAUGUAGCCCAUCUGGUCUGUUUAAGAGUCAUUUGUUUCACCAUUUUCCUUGUUCCUGGUGUACAGAAAUAAACAAACUGGGACCAAACCAACAUCGCAAUGCAAAUUGGAAGUGAAGAUGCUGACAUUCUAAUAGAUCAAAUGAGUGGUCACCUGGGGAAAAAGUUUGUGUUUCUUUCCGGUAACUCUCUUAAAAUAGCCAAAUGGGGCAGAAAGUUCUAGAAUGGCUGAGUCACCAAAUGAACACAGCUGUGUGCCGGUGGGAUGAGCAGUCAUUCCUCCAGAGCUGCAAGGACUGAAGUGCUGCCGUUGUGGCGGUGCUGCCGGCCCCGGGCACAGCAGUGUGGUGAGAGCUGGGGAUGCACAGCCGGGUACCGGCCAGGGGAACUGCUGUGUCCUGGCUGGGAGCUGUGUGUGUGUGCAUGAUGACGAUGUGCUCCCCCGGCUCAGGACGCCCAGGUCUCCUUGCUGACACUCUCUGUGUCCAGGCAAAGCCCUGUUAGCAGAUAUACAUGCAAGUAAGCAAUCAUCUCUCAGAUCAUUCCAGCAGAUGUCUUUUAAAUCAAACUGUUUGUUCAAAAGCCUAACUUUAAGAACUGAAAGAGUUCAUCUCGCUUACAUUCCUACAACAACAUGGUUAACCUCCAAUGUAAUUUUUUUGCUAUCGUCUGUAAAAUAUUUUUAUAUAUUGCCUGUACUGUGGUAGUUUAGCAAUAAAUGAGAGGAUAUCACGU
ensembl:lncRNA